AUUGAACGCUGGCGGCAGGCUUAACACAUGCAAGUCGAACGAGUGGCGGACGGGUGAGUAAUGUCUGGGAAACUGCCUGAUGGAGGGGGAUAACUACUGGAAACGGUAGCUAAUACCGCAUACCAGCAGAUGUGCCCAGAUGGGUUUAGCUUGGUGGUGGGGUAACGGCUCACCAAGGCGACGUUCCCUAGCUGGUCUGAGAGGAUGACCAGCCACACUGGAACUGAGACACGGUCCAGACUACUACGGGAGGCAGCAGUGGGGAAUAUUGCACAAUGGGCGCAAGCCUGAUGCAGCACUGCCGAGUGUAUGAAGGAGGCCUGCGGGUUGUAAAGUACUUUCAGCAUGGAGGCGUUACCCGCAGAAGAAGCACCGGCUAACUCCGUGCCAGCCGCCGCGGUAAUAC
rnacentral:rRNA from 1 species